rnacentral:rRNA from 1 species
UACGUAGGGGGCAAGCGUUGUCCGGAAUCAUUGGGCGUAAAGCGCGUGUAGGCGGUCCGAUAAGUCGGAUGUGAAAGCCCCGGGCUCAACCUGGGAAUGGCAUUCGAGACUGUGCAGCUAGGAUGCGGAAGAGGGAAGCGGAAUUUCCGGUGUAGCGGUGAAAUGCGUAGAUAUCGGAAGGAACACCAGUGGCGAAAGCGGCUCCUGGUCCAGCAUCGACGUCAGGCACGAAAGCGUGGGGAGCAAACAGG